rnacentral:lncRNA from 1 species
AGCUCAGGGCUGUGGGUGCUGUGGGUGCUGUGGGGCAGGGCUGGGUCCAACCCCAAACUUACCAGCUCAGGAGGGAGCGGAGGGUGGCACGGCGCCGUCACCUGUGGGGCAGAGCACUCACUGCGGCUCCAGGGAGCAAACCUGGCCCCAUAGCGGGACCCCAGCCCCAUAGCACGACCCCAGACCCAUAGUGGGACCCCAGCCCCAUGAGCGGGACCCCAGCCCCAUGAGCGGGACCCCAACCCCAUCAGGGACCCCAACCCCAUAGCAGGACCCCAGACCCAUGAGCGGGAUCUGAGCCCCAUAGCAGGACCCCAGCCCCAUAAGUGAGACCCCAGCCCCAUGAGCGUGAUCCCAACACCAUAGCAGGACCCCAGCCCCAUAGUGGGACCCCAGCCCCAUAAGUGGGACCCCAGACCCAUGAGCGCGAUCCCAGACCCAUGAGCGCGAUCCCAGACCCAUGAGCGCGAUCCCAGCCCCAUCAGCGAUCCCAGCCCCAUAGCAGGACCCCAGCCCCAUAAGUGAGACCCCAGCCCCCUGAG